ACUCACAGCUCUCUAUGCUGGACGCUUUUCAUCACCCUUGAACUACCAAGAUACCCAAAAGUGAUGGCGUAAGAGUCAUGGAUGACUUCAGUUAAAGAGUUAUUUGGGUCUGAAAAGGCUCAGGGAGUCAAAUUAAUAAUUGGUUGUUGUUGUGGUAAACCGACAGCGUGCAUCUCUUGUCUGAGUAACAGUGGAAAAGCAAUAAAGAUACAGUAGAUGGCACAGACAGAUUUUGGCCUCUAUCGAUAACUCACCUUUGUGAGCACUAGUAUUUCAAUGGCAACAUCUUAUAAGUUACACUGCUACAAAAACAGACUUUUGGGGAUCAGUCCAACUGAAAAUUCAAGUCUCAAAAUAUAUAAAUCGUAGUGUUUCCCUUGUCGUUGCGACAUUUACUCUUUCCAGUGGUGAAGAUCCAUUCAGUCAUUUAGCAAGACUAAACAUCACAUUCCUCGAAACAGUAUAAAUCCCAACUUUAGCUUCCUUCCAGGGAACCAUACAGUGCGACGAUAGAAUAUUUAAAUACAGCUUCCUCUGUGACUAAGAUCUCCCAUCGGCGUAGAGGUCGGUCACUGGCGCGGUGUAUGCUUUGGCGUUCAGCGGUGAUGCAGUUCUCCGACAGGGAUCUCGAGGGUCAAAGGUCUGUGAUUCUGAGAUUUCGAGAAUGUAGCACGGAGUUGUCCUUCUGGGCAAAUCAACCCAGUGAGUGAGGAUCGAUCAAGACAACCCACGUCCUUGUCACCCCGAAGGAGUUCGAUUAUUUAAAGUCCCAAUGUGGAAAGCCUCAAGGAAGCUGGUUGGGUUAGCAUAAAGACAGAAGACACACAGAAACAGCUAGCUUAAUAGUCACAUUUGGAUAAAAUAAAAAAAAACGAAAAGAAAAGAAA